rnacentral:rRNA from 1 species
UACGUAGGGGGCAAGCGUUGUCCGGAAUUAUUGGGCGUAAAGAGCUCGUAGGCGGACUGUCACGUCUGCUGUGAAAAGCUAGGGCUUAACCCUGGCCUUGCAGUGGAUACGGGCAGACUAGAGGUAGGUAGGGGAGAAUGGAAUUCCCGGUGUAGCGGUGAAAUGCGCAGAUAUCGGGAGGAACACCGGUGGCGAAGGCGGUUCUCUGGGCCUUACCUGACGCUGAGGAGCGAAAGCGUGGGGAGCGAACAGG